CUACGAGAUGUCAUCAUCCAUCCCCCCUCGAAACGAUUCUGCCAUGGCGAUCAUGGCUGUAGCCGCGCUCUUUCACGCCAGGUUCCCUCUUAUCGCCCGUCGAACUUUCCCGUCCUCUGUUAGUUACUGUCCCCGGACUCUUCUUUCCAAUGAAUUCAGCUACCGACUACAAUCGAUUAUCUGUUUCUCAUCUUCCGACGGUGGCGGAAGUGGCGGCGUUAAAGAUUCCGAUAUGGUUGUUCCAGAAGUUCAGGGCCCCAACUUUCUGAAGUAUAGCGACGAAGAGUUGAUGAAGCAAUGCAAAUUCGAGACCUUUAGAGUUUCAGGGCCCGGCGGACAACACCGGAACAAGCGUGACUCCGCCGUCAGACUUAAACACCUCCCCACCGGAAUCGUGGCUCAGGCCGUCGAGGACCGUUCACAGCACAAGAACCGAGCUUCUGCUCUUAACCGCCUUCGCACUCUCCUCGCUGUUAAAGUGAGGAACAAGGUGGACAUUGAAGCCUAUUCUCCUCCGCCUGAGCUUCUGCAGAUCCUACCUCCAAAGUCCUCCAUCAGAACUUCUUCUUCUGGUUCACAGAUUGGUCCCAACAAUCCUAAAUUUGUACCUGGAAUGCAAGCUUUGCUUGACGUUAUCUCUGCUUCUGACGGUUCCAUCGCUGAUUCUGCCAAGUUGCUGGGUUUGAGCACUGGUGGCUUGUCUCGUUUGAUACUCUCACAUGAUGGUCUUCGUAUGGCAGUCAAUAGCAUGAGGGCAGCCAAGGGAAUGAAGCCUCUCAAGUAGUCUGGAUGUAUAGAUAUUUGAAGAAUGAUGGUGGGACCUUUGAAAAUGUCUACCAUUUCUAUGCACCUUAUUUUGUAUACAAAACAAAGUAUAAAUGUUGAGUUCUGUCUACCAUUUGUUCUUCCAAUAUCAUUCAUAUGUCACCUAUUUUGAGAUGAUAUACUACUAAAUAGGCUGCUAAAAUAUAUUUAUGGUAAUUUUGAGUCCCAUUUUGUUGUGAUUGUGCUGGACCUUGAAGCUAAUACAGUUGGAACCAUUUUGGAUUAGAUU